CAUUAAAUGACUGAAAAAGUAAGUUUUGAUUUUUUAAAUCAAAUAUAAUAGAUUAACACCUAUUUUUAAUGA
rnacentral:tRNA from 1 species